UCAGCUUAGUGCACGAGGCAGUUGAAACAGGUAAUGUUUUUUUAAUGCUCCGGGACCAAUCUAUCCUCUCAUCUGAUCUAAAUAUGCUGUGGAAACUUUCUUAUAUCAUUUCCAGGUAAUUAAUUGCUUUGCUACUAUAGGAAAUUCAGGUACUUGGCCAGCUUAGACAUCCAAACAUUCAGCGGUAUUAUGGGAGUGAAAUUGUGGGUCAACUUUCCACGGCAUCUACAUGUCCCAGCUCAAUGGGCAUUCAUAAUUUGACUCCCCGAAAUUUCAACAUUUUCGUAGAUUGUCAGGUUGAGGACUGGCUUGACAUAUAUCUAGAAUAUGCACAGCAUGGAUCAAUAGGUAAGUAUAUCCAGGAGCAUCUUGGGACCCUAACAGAAUCCAUUGUCUGCACUUUUACCCGCCAUAUUGUGACUGGAUUGGCUUACCUGCAUGUUAACAACUCCAUCAUGGGUAAUUCUAAACCAUUGAUCAAGCAUCAUGAGAUGACUUGCAUAUUGGAUUAGGACAAUUAGACCUUCUUCUUUGUGCCUACAGACCUGUAAAAGCUCUUUGGCUUGCACAUGGAUUUAAAGGGUGCUAAUUUACUUGCGGAUGCAUUUGGGAUUGUCAAACUUGUUGACUUCGAGAUUGCUAAACAUGUGAGUUUCCACCUCUUCACUCCAGGACUAGGACUACUGAGUGCAUGUAGAGACUCCUUGCUGAUUUGUGGUGCGUUUGAAUGUGAAGUCAGGGACCCAGGGUGACUGUGUACUUCUCAUUAUUGGUUUGUGGCAUUUCAUCUGUGCAAAAAUCUAUUAUAGAUGGAUGAAAUGUUGUUGAGUAAUUUUCUUCACUUUUUUUCCCAUUGUGUCGGGUAAAGUCACUAUAUUGCGUAAAUGGGAAAAGAGUUAUUGCUGUUAUUAGAUGCCAAAACCUGAUGAGGUUCUUUCCUUUUCCACUGGUUUCUAAAAAGUUCCUAAGAGGUGUAGUGAAUAGAACACAAUGCCUUGGGUGAAAGGUUCUUCUGGUGUUGUCUUUGAUGCUCCUCUGCAUUUCAAAAGAAGGAUCGAAUUUAGUCAGAGUAAGAAGGGCCUCCUUCCUAACAUGAGGUAAGUAAAAGUGUAUGGUCCAUAGGACAGAAUUCUGGACAGUAGCCAAGGUAUUGUUGCUCUCUUUUUGAGUUCUCAAGCAUUUGCUGAAAUCAUUUUGGUGAUUGCUUCAUGGUCCUUUUUCUCAGUCAUGAGCUAACAUAAGCUGAAAGUGGUUGAUUUAGUUAUCGAUCUAAUGUAUCUAUGUCUAUGAAGAUGUUGCAAUUUUAUCCAGUGUUCCAUGAACACACCAAAUAGUCUUCGGCUUUAAUAAUGUCCUGCCAUCUCUUAGCUAACUGGACAAGCAGCUUACUGCUCUUUGAAGGGAAGUCUAAACUGGAUGGCUGUAGAGAUCUCAAUUGUACUGCUGACAUCUGAAGUUUGGGAAGUACUAUUUACAGGGAAACCUCCUUGGAGUGAGUAUGGGCGGGCUCAAGCUAUAUUUAAGGUGAUGCAAAGUUCUCCACCAAUACCUAAGACGGAAAGGUUUUCCUACGGUGCUGCUUUCAAAGAGAGCCUGCCGAGAGGCCUUCAGUUGCUAUGCUACUUGAGCAUGCUUUCUUGCAAAUUUGAAGUUGCAGAUGACUGACUUAUUUCAAGUGCCAUACCUUGUUGCAAAAGUGAUGUUGUACUAUAAAGUUCCAGAUUUGCUAAACCAAAAGUAUCAUGAGGUCCAUAGGUGUGAUGAAGUACUUGUCUAUCGACAAAAUA